UGAGUACGAGAUGCUACGGCGUCGAAGCAGUCUAGGUCAUACUUCCAAGAAAAGCUUGCACUGUCAUAAACAAAGAAUGCCUGUACCAUAACCGACACAGGUGGGUAGGUAGGGUAUACUAAGGGGCGCGAGAUAACUCUCUCUAAGGAACUCGGCAAAAUGACUCCGUAACUUCGGGAGAAGGAGUGCCUUAUUUUUAAGGUUGCAAUAACAAGAUCCAAGCAACUGUUUACCAAAAACACAGGUUUCCGCUAAGUCGUAAGACGAUGUAUGGGGGCUGACGCCUGCCCAGUGCCAGAAGGUUAAAGAAGUUGGUUAGCAUUUGCGAAGCUGAUAACUGAAGCCCUGGUGAACGGCGGCCGUAACGAUAACGGUCCUAAGGUAGCGAAAUUCCUUGUCGGGUAAGUUCCGACCCGCACGAAAGGCGUAAUGAUUUGGAUACUGUCUCGGAGAGGGGCUCGGUGAAAUAGACUUGUCUGUGAAGAUGCGGACUACCUGCACCUGGACAGAAAGACCCUAUGAAGCUUUACUGUAACUUGAGAUUGAAAUUGGACUUUAUUUGCGCAGUAUAGGUGGGAGGCGUUGAGAAUAAUCUUGCGGGAUUAUCGGAGCCAUCAGUGAGAUACCACUCUUGUAAUGUUAGAUUUCUAACUUUGUAUCAUUAUCUGGUCAAAGAACAGUUUCAGGCGGGCAGUUUGACUGGGGCGGUCGCCUCCCAAAGGGUAACGGAGGCGCACAAAGGUUUCCUCUGAACGGGUAGAAAUCGUAUCUAGAGUGUAAAGGCAUAAGGAAGCUUGACUGUUAGACCUACAAGUCGAGCAGGGACGAAAGUCGGUCUUAGUGAUCUGACGGUGCUGAGUGGAAAGGCCGUCACUCAACGGAUAAAAGUUACUCUAGGAUAACAGGCUGAUCUCCCCCAAGAGUUCACAUCGACGGGGAGGUUUGGCACCUCGAUGUCGGCUCAUCGCAUCCUGGGGCGGUAGUACGUCCCAAGGGUUGGGCUGUUCGCCCAUGAAAGCGGUACGCGAGCUGGGUUCAGAACGUCGUGAGACAGUUCGGUCCAUAUCCGGUGUAGGCGUUAGAAUAUUGAAAGGAGCCUUCUCUAGUACGAGAGGACCGAGAAGGACAUACCUCUGGUGUGCCAGUUAUCGUGCCAACGGUAAACGCUGGGUAGCUAUGUAUGGAGUGGAUAACCGCUGAAAGCAUCUAAGUGGGAAGCCCACCUUAAGAUAAGUAUUCUCAGC
rnacentral:rRNA from 1 species